AAUAGUAUAGCAGUCCCUCAUGGACUGUGGAACUUCAUGAAUUCAGUAUAAAUAUCCCUCAAACUUGGCCUAAAACAUGCAAUUAUCUUUCUCCAGCCAAAAUAACUACACAAAAUCCAAACCUAUUUCCUUUCCGAAUACGAUGUUUCUUGCUAAGAAAACCCUACUGAAUCUUGUUGCAGCAGCUCCCAUGAACACAAGGUUAUGCUGCAAACUGACCGUUCUGCACCCAUUUCAUUUUGGCAUUGUGUUCUCAGCUCCUGUCAAUGAAAAUGCUCAUUUGCAGAGCCUCUUUGCUGAUUUUGCCUCCACCAAAUUCAACAUGUCUGCGGCCGACAUCACUCAAAUAUUAGAAACCUUCCCCGUACUGGGAAGGCUAAAAACCCUCCAGAAUGUGGAGCAGUUUAUUCAUAUGUUGAACAAACGCGGCUGCACUGAAGUCCAAAUUGCCAAGAUAAUUAGGCUUCAGCCCUCACUUAUGCUCACAAAUACCGAAAGAGUAUUGGAACCUAAGAUCAAAUUGUUGGAAGAUAUUGGCAUUCAGGGUCAAAAUCUGGUUAAAAUUUUGACGACCGAUCCCCGCAUCUUGACCACCAGCCUCGAGAACGACCUUAUUCCCAAGAUGGAGUUUCUCAAGAAUGUAUUUCAGUCCCAGGAUCUGCUCGUCAGAUCCCUGGUAAGAGUGCCCUUAAUUCUGAGAAAUAAUCUGGAGGAAACUCUAAAGCCCUCAGUUGCUCUUUGGCAGAGAUGGGGUUUUCGCGGGGUGGAGCUCACCAAAUUCUUAGGGAUGCGGCCGCAAGUUUUGUUUCACACUUCUUUAACGCCUGCACAAAUUGAUCUCAUUGACAAGAUUUGCCCUGAGAAAACAAGAAAAAUGUACAAAUAUAUUGUAAGUAUAGUGGCUGUUAGCCGACUGGAAACGUUACAGGCCAAGAUAGAUAAUCUGAAACUGUGUGGGGGGGCCUCGUCUGAAGAAAUUUGGCAACUAAUUAGUGCUGCCCCUCAAGUGUUACUUUGCUCCGAGGAAAAUGUUAGUGAUAAGAUGAACUUUCUAGUUAACAACAUGGAAUUCCCUGCUAAUUAUGUAGUGAAGCACGCGUGGUUGUUGUGUAUAAGUCUGGAAAGGAAAUUGAGGCCCAGGUUUCUAGUUUUGCAGAAAAUAAAAUCCAUCAACGAGCUCGACCUCUCUCUUUUAACUGUGUUGAAGAUGCCAGAGGCAAUGUUUGUUAACAAGUUCAUUAAAAGGUAUCGUGAAUCUGAAACACUCUGGACAAUUUAUAAAAAUGCCAUCUCUAAUGCCUCCAGCGGCAUAAAAAAGAGCUCACCUUAAUUUUGGACGGAGAUUCUGAGAGUUAGAACUCAAAAACCGCAGCAACCUUAUUAAUCUUUGGCAAAAGGUGGGAAGGCAGUCCCCAUCCAGGCACUGGCUGUGACCAUUAUGCAUUUAUGGAGGUACCAUAUUCAUCAACAGGAGCAAUGUCGAUAUUCUCUCUGCCAAGCAUUCUGAGUCCAAUUGCUUUUCAAGCAAGGUAUCCAUGGCAACUAUCAAAUUUUUAAACACAAAAAUACUGGAGAACUUCAGCAAACAGACAUGUAACAUUAAUAAGUGGACAUUUGUGAGCAUAGUCCAUUUGGACCGUUGGCAACUACUGAUCUGUUGUAUCGUUGGGCUCAAAUAAGCAAACAUGAUUUCUGUUCUAACAUUACCUUAUUAGUGUAAAUUUGAUGGCCUACUUCUUGCAAAUCACGACUUGGUCUACUUUAGAAAUGAUCAAACAAUGAGUGCAAAAUAGACCUCUAUCUAUAGCUAUCUAGCCCUAGCGGGUGGUAAGUUGUGGACCUGUCAAAUUCAUUAAUGAGCUUAUAUUUAAGGCUAUUAUCUAUUGAAUGAUAAUGUACAUCGAGAGAAAGACCAUGAGCAAGUUAAUUGAGGGGCAAUUGAUUUGGUUGAUGAUAUUAAACCUUCAUUUUAUGCAUAUUUACAAUCAGCACAAUCCAUGAAACCACGUCUCUUUAGGUUAUGCUUGACCAAUAUGGUGGAUAUUGACCAUGUCAACGUUAAUGGUGUUAAAUUUUGGAUCAGAAUUAAAUAGC